CCUUGAACUGCAGCUCAGAAGGCUGGGAGGCCUUUGGGGGAAGCUGCUACCUCAUCUGUGAGACCUCACAAAACUGUGGUGGCAAACAACCCAAAUGCAAAGAAUGUUCAGACUGUGACCGGGAGAAACAUGGGACCUGGAACUGCAGCCAACGGGAAUGUUCCUGCAACGGGGCUGACCUUGUGACCAUCGACAGCAGACAGGAGCUGGAAUUUCUCCAGAGCAGAUUAAGACCAUCGGGAUGUUAUUACUACAUCGGUCUCAACAAAAUCCAAGACCAGUGGCAAUGGAUCAAUGGCGAGCCUCUGAUAGAGAGCAGGGUGCCGCUGAAAAAUAUCAAUAAAACAGAAACUAGAGA